UCAUGGCUCAGAUUGAACGCUGGCGGAAUGCUUUACACAUGCAAGUCGAACGGCAGCACGAGAGCUUGCUCUUGGUGGCGAGUGGCGAACGGGUGAGUAAUAUAUCGGAACGUAUCCAAUAAUGGGGGAUAACUAAUCGAAAGGUUGGCUAAUACCGCAUACGCCCUACGGGGGAAAGCAGGGGAUCUUCGGACCUUGCGUUAAUGGAGCGGCUGAUAUCUGAUUAGCUAGUAGGUGAGGUAAAGGCUCACCUAGGCUUCGAUCAGUAGCUGGUCUGAGAGGACGACCAGCCACACUGGAACUGAGACACGGUCCAGACUCCUACGGGAGGCAGCAGUGGGGAAUUUUGGACAAUGGGGGCAACCCUGAUCCAGCCAUUCCGCGUGAGUGAAGAAGGCCUUCGGGUUGUAAAGCUCUUUCGCAAGGGAAGAAACGUUACGAGCGAAUAACUCGUGAUAAUGACGGUACCUUGAUAAGAAGCACCGGCUAACUACGUGCCAGCAGCCGCGGUAAUACGUAGGGUGCAAGCGUUAAUCGGAAUUACUGGGCGUAAAGCGUGCGCAGGCGGCUUUGCAAGACAUCUGUGAAAUCCCCGGGCUCAACCUGGGAACUGCAUUUGUGACUGCAUGGCUAGAGUACGGUAGAGGGGGAUGGAAUUCCGCGUGUAGCAGUGAAAUGCGUAGAUAUGCGGAGGAACACCGAUGGCGAAGGCAAUCCCCUGGACCUGUACUGACGCUCAUGCACGAAAGCGUGGGGAGCAAACAGGAUUAGAUACCCUGGUAGUCCACGCCCUAAACGAUGUCAACUGGUUGUUGGACGGCUUGCUGUUCAGUAACGAAGCUAACGCGUGAAGUUGACCGCCUGGGGAGUACGGCCGCAAGGUUGAAACUCAAAGGAAUUGACGGGGACCCGCACAAGCGGUGGAUGAUGUGGUUUAAUUCGAUGCAACGCGAAAAACCUUACCUACCCUUGACAUGUCAGGAAUCCUGUAGAGAUAUAGGAGUGCUCGAAAGAGAAUCUGAACACAGGUGCUGCAUGGCCGUCGUCAGCUCGUGUCGUGAGAUGUUGGGUUAAGUCCCGCAACGAGCGCAACCCUUAUCAUUAGUUGCUACGCAAGGGCACUCUAAUGAGACUGCCGGUGACAAACCGGAGGAAGGUGGGGAUGACGUCAGGUCAUCAUGGCCCUUAUGGGUAGGGCUACACACGUCAUACGAUGGCCGGUACAGAGGGCUGCCAACUCGCGAGAGGGAGCUAAUCUCAGAAAACCGGUCGUAGUCCGGAUCGCAGUCUGCAACUCGACUGCGUGAAGUCGGAAUCGCUAGUAAUCGCGGAUCAGCUUGCCGCGGUGAAUACGUUCCCGGGUCUUGUACACACCGCCCGUCAUACCAUGGGAGUGGGUUUUGCCAGAAGCCGUUAGCCUAACCGCAAGGAGGGCGACUGCCACGGCAGGGUUCAUGACUGGGGUAAAGUCGUAACAAGGUA
rnacentral:rRNA from 1 species